GUGAAUCAUCAAAUUUUUGAACGCAAAUUGCACUCUCCUCGGAGAGUAUGCCUGUUUGAGGGUCAGCCUAUAAAAAAUCGACAUCGUUGCUGUUUCGCGGUGGCGUUCGUCGGAAAUUGGGUCAUCUUAAAUCCUUUUGAUUUAAGCGACUUAAAAUUUUCUUUUGGUUCCAUGAACGUUUCUAAGAUCUAUUUCUUUACACGUUUAAGGUAUCGAUUUUUAUUGGAGGGAACAUUAAUUUCGGUUGGGUCCC
rnacentral:misc_RNA from 1 species